GGAAAUAAAAGUCGUAACAAGGUUUCCGUAGGUGAACCUGCGGAAGGACCAUUAUUGUAUAACCGAGGUGCGAGGGCUGUCGCUGACCCGAAAGGUCGUGCACGCCCGAGUGCCCUCACACACAUCCAGCUCACCCCUAUGUGCACCACCGCGUGGGUCCCCCUUUGGCUUGUUCGGAGGGGGGCUUACGUUUUCACACAAACUUUGUAUGCAGUGUAGAAUGUAUUUUUUGUUUUUGCGAUCACGCAAUCAAUACAACUUUCAACAACGGAUCUCUUGGCUCUU
rnacentral:misc_RNA from 1 species